CAAUAGCGUAUAUUAAAGUUGUUGCAGUUAAAAAGCUCGUAGUUGAAAUUCCGGCGUUUAUACGCCUGUCUGGAAAGAGUCACUAUACUGCAAAAAGUUUGGUGGCUUCGAACAGACUUUUACCGUGAACAAAUUAAAGUGCUUAAAGCAGGCUUUUGCUUGAAUAGUUUAGCAUGGAAUAAUAGAAAAAGACCUUAUUCAUUUUAUUGGUUAUUGAAUAAAGUAAUGAUUAACAGGAACAGUUGGGGGCAUACGUAUUUGAAAGUCAGAGGUAAAAUUCUUUUAUCUUUCAAAGACGAACUAAAGCGAAAGCAUUUGCCAAGGAUGUUUUCAUUAA
rnacentral:rRNA from 1 species